GGUUAGGUACUAUGCAACUUCACAGCCGGCUAACUCCACCAGGUCCGGAAGGAAGCAAUGGUCGUCAGGUAUUGGGUGUGCUGUAGAUCGCCUAACCUUU
rnacentral:SRP_RNA from 1 species